CAAAAAAAAAAACAAAACCCUAGGCAAUGAACCUUCGACUCUUGAAGGAUUUUGGUUUUUCUUCUUUGCCGGUGCGGAUUUCCUCCUCACUGUCGCCGAUUUUCAGUCCGCCACCCGAACAGGAAAGUUUUCUUUCCCCCUCCCCCCCCUUCGUCUCUAUUCCCCUGUCUUCCUCUUCAUUGUGCAGAUCUGAAAUUUAGUAUUUUUUGUUUGCAGAUCUGCAUUUGCCGCCGAUUGCCUAUCAUCGCUGCAGAAAAUUUUGUGUAACGAAAUGAUCUUGUUGCCUCUCGUCACGGCCGGUUGCAUCUCAUCACGCUGGUUCCCUCACGCGGCGUAUCUCUGGUUCCCUCAUGCGCAACCAUUCUCUGAUUUGUAGAUUUUAGUAGACUUCUUAUGGUUUUAAUAUACUUCUUAGGUCCAAGCACUGACGAUAUAAUAGAAGCUUGUUUUAUUUGCUCAUCAUGGACUCAGUAUAAUAGACUGAUGUUGGGAUAUCUUGGGAUCUACACUGGUUUCAUUGUAGCACAGAAACUCAGUACACCCCCAACGGGUCAGCAUGGCUAAAUUAGUGGUGGAUUUAGAAGCUUUUGAGAACUACCCAUUGGGAAGAAUAGGUUUUUAGAAUAUGAUGGCUUCUGUGAAGGAAAAAAGUGGAUUUAAGUAGGACUAUUUCUAUCGAUAGAUUUGUGCAAGCUCUCCAAGUGUGGAUCUAAUAUGCUCCUCCAGAAUAUGCUGCUGAAUUAGCUAACCCAUUGCCAAAUAACCCAACUCUUCUGCUGCUGGCUUACAAAGGAUCAAGAGGCCAGAAGUACGUCAAAGAGAACAUGCUAAAACAGGUCCACAUACAUAACUGCGUUAUAAAGAAAUUAGACAAUAUGUUACCAGUGUGGGAUGAUGAGAAAGAAGAUGUGGAGGUUCACAAUGUUGUCAAAGCAUAGUUUCAAUAAUCGUGGAAGAGGAGUAAAGAGAAUUGGCUUCUUGUUGGUGCUCUGAAAGCAAACACUGUCAAGGCAGAGAAAUCGAUGGACAACAAAAGGAGAUUCGUGUCAGAGAUGAAGAAAGCCGAAAGAGGGCCUGCACAGACUCUGCAUCUGUUGCCUUUCAUAUAGAUCAGGAUGGGGUCGGACUGGUUGCUACAAUGAAAGCACACUUCGACCAAUGCUUCAAAAGCUUCUCUAUGAAGAUGUUCAAUGGUCUAACUGGUUGUGAAAAGCAGAUCCAACUCCUUAGCGAGAAGGUAGAAAAAGUUGAGCAAGCCGUAGAGGUGGUGAAAGCCGCUUCGAGAAAGAAUGUUUAAGAAGAGGAGCAGGUCAAAGACAAUGAAGAUUCUAAAUCGAAACUCUCAAGCCAUGAGAAGAAUGUGGACGCCACCAUCCCAGAGGAACAAGGGGUUAGACUCAAACCCUCUCAGAAAACACAAAUAUCAUACAUGAGAACAAGAUCAAGGAAACAAAAACUGAAAAUAUAAUGAAAUAAACAUGGACUAUUUCUGAAUUUGAGCAUUUCUAAUAAUGAUGUCUAGUGUGAGGACAUGUUUAUUUGUUUUCUCAAUUUAUGUUUCCAAUUUCUAGACUUUGGUUUUAUGUUUAGUGUUGACAAUUAUGUUAAUAAAUGUUUUGAUGUUGUUGUUA